GGGGGGGGGGGGCGCAGACCUCAGACCCUGCUUUGUGCUAAUCACUGUAAGCACCCUGGUACCUCAAUCCCGAUCUGGGUGGCCCUUACCACUCCCAAAGCCUUGUCACAUGCUCAGUGAUCUCAGCUGGCCCCACACAAACCCUGUCAGGUAAGCAGGUCAGGUGUUGGUGUUAUUCCCACUUUACAGAUGGGGAAACUCUGCUGGAGCGGUUCGAUGACUUGCUCAGGGCCACCCAGGGAGUACAUGUCCCAGUUGCUAGCCCAGUGCUUCUUCCAUAGACCAGGAGGCAAAUGGUGUCCCCAUGCCCUCAAUACUGCCCACGAGUACCUUACAGCUUUACAUAACUAGCAACAGGUAUCAGGCAAUGGCUCUUCCCUCUGGGCGCUGGGCCUCGUUUUUAGACACUGGGGAGCCUGACUCCCUAAAACUGCCACCUCUUCCUGUUCAGUCAACCUUCCUCCUCCUGCCUGACGGUUGGAAGUGGAAGGACGUGGACUGGGUGGGGGCGGGCACGGCUUGUGCCCAGGCUGGGCCUCCCCCAAGAGUGGCAAAGCAUGGUUUUUGGGAUCCCAGAGGAGAAGCUGCCCAUUGUGUACUUUUCCGGGUAUGGAGAAAGAAAGAGGAGACAGCAGAGCUGACUUGAAUGCCUGGCUCAAUUCACCGGCGACAGCCCUCCCAGCCUGCCCUGUGGGGGUCCUCAGAGCUGGUCCCUAUUUCGCAAAGUUGGCUCAAGCAGCCUCAGGAAUGGGUGUGUGACUUCAGAGCAGAGCAGAGAAGGACACCACCCUCUUCUGGGGCCACAGGUCAGUAGGGCAGGAGUUAAUGCUCCUCAGGUCAGGGGCCUCCAUGGGAGGCGGCAGAGCUCCUUUUUGGUGGGGCUCCAAGACCAACAGAGCCCAUACCACCCAAAGGCAUUCACUACAGAUCUGACUGAGCCCAGGAACCAGAACUCUGGGGGCGACACCUGCAGGGUGGGGCGUGUGGGGCAGGGCAGGGAGGGCCAGCCCCAUCCACAGCCCACUCCUGGAAUGCCCAGAUGCAGGAUGAUCUUUCAGCUGUGGUUUCCCCUCACCAAACCAUUCCUUUGUCCCCCUCCUCAGCCCUCGUGGGAUUUGCCUCAUCCUUGAGGGGCAUGUUGGGAGACACUGUACAGCUAAGAGUUCCACGGGCUCUUCUGCAUUUGGGGUCAGGCCGGAGAGGAGCCAGAAGAAGGUGAGUGGACGUUGUGCAAGCCGUGAAAAGUCAAGCUGCCUCCAGCAAUCUAGGCCAGCGUCCGGUUCCCAUGACACUCUUACUGGCAGCGUUAAUAACUAACCGCGUCCCAGACAGGUGCUGGCGGCCUGGCCUUAGGAGUUCUUGCUCAGGGUUGAAAGUGAGUCACUUCCCUUUUAUAGUUUGCUAGCAGACUGAGUCACCCAGAGGCCGACCCUUUCACACAAGCUGUCAUACCUCGGCGAAGUAACAUUCACGGCCAUACCUUCGACCACCUGUUUUCCAGUGCUCUCACACCUUCCCAACCCCCUGUUCGGAAACAAGACUGGAAGUGGAAAGUUCCAGAACUGAUGAGCCAAAGGACAAAACCGUGGGGAGCAGGCCUGGCCGCCGAGGCCCAGACCCUGGCAUUGGGCGCCUACGGCGGCUCUGGAGCACGUCUCUCAGGACGAACGGCCCACACAGAGAUCAGAUAAAUAUCACCCGGAAAAGAAUCUCAUAUACCUCUUUGGGGAAUCCUUCCUUCCCCACUCCUGCAUGCUCUCGCCAAAAAAAAAAAAAA